GAACGAGUCUCCGCUGCGGGUCUGAAGCUGAAUCUCAAGAAAUGCCAACUAGCCCGGUUCCAAGUGGAUUACUUGGGAUUCCAGGUGACCGAGGAUCUGGGCAUCUCGGAAGGAUUUCGACAAAAAAUCGAACGGAUUUCGCCUCCGGGAUCAGAGACAGAGUUGCAGCGAAUACUUGGACUGUGCAACUAUGUGCGGGAUCAUGUUCCCCACUAUCAGAAACAUGCAAGACCACUGUACGCGCGCUUGAAGAAAGCUCCGGAGAGCCAAAAAACGGCGAAGUGGCAGUGGUCAGACAAUGACAAUCAAAAUUUGAAUAACUUGAAACAAGCCGUCCGAGAAGCCGUGCGGCUUGAGCCACGAAGUUUGACAGUAAAACUUGUCGCGAAGAGCCUUGUGUGAGACGCAAGAUCGCUGGCCUGGAUUAACUUGGAUUUACUC